rnacentral:rRNA from 1 species
UACGAAGGGGGCUAGCGUUGCUCGGAAUUACUGGGCGUAAAGCGCACGUAGGCGGCUUUCUAAGUCGGGGGUGAAAUCCUGGAGCUCAACUCCAGAACUGCCUUUGAUACUGGAAAGCUUGAGUCCGGGAGAGGUGAGUGGAACUCCGAGUGUAGAGGUGAAAUUCGUAGAUAUUCGGAAGAACACCAGUGGCGAAGGCGGCUCACUGGCCCGGUACUGACGCUGAGGUGCGAAAGCGUGGGGAGCAAACAGG